rnacentral:rRNA from 1 species
AUUGAACGCUGGCGGAAAGCCUAACACAUGCAAGUCGAACGAGUGGCGGACGGGUGAGUAAUGUCUGGGAAACUGCCUGAUGGAGGGGGAUAACUACUGGAAACGCUAGCUAAUACCGCAUACAAUCGGAUGGGCCCAGAUGGGAUUAGCUAGUAGGGGGGGUAAAGGCUCACCUAGGCGACGAUCCCUAGCGGGUCUGAGAGGAUGACCAGCCAACCUGGAACUGAGAAAGGGUCCAGACUCCUAGGGGUGGCAUCAGUGGGGAAUAUUGCACAAUGGGCGCAAGCCUUAUGCAGCCAUGCCGCUUGUAUGAAGAAGGCCUUCUGUUUGUAAAGUACUUUCAGCGGGGAGGCGUUACCCGCAGAAGAAGCACCGGCUAACUCCGUGCCAGCAGCCGCGGUAAUUC